rnacentral:lncRNA from 1 species
UCCAACAGACUACUUAUUCCCAAGAUUUGAGGUGUGACUGCUUUUCUAUUUUAACAAUCAUUAAUGGCGGUAUUCUCAUUUAAACUGGUACUGCUAAUUUCAAAUUACUUAUUUAGCAGGUGCCAAUUUCUUAUUCCAGAAGCACAUGUUUGGAUGUUUAGUUUGUUAAAUUUUCAAAGGAAGAGCUGAGUACACACUAAUACAUGACUAAUUUGUGGAAUUUGGAUGUUACCCAUGCUCAUGCUAUAGUUGUUGAGCAACUAAUCUUAUCAUAACAUCAUCUAAGCAUCCAACCUCCAUGUUGCCUAUUUCGUUCACCAUGAAACCGGUAUGGCUGGGCUAAUGAAGGUAUAUCAAAAAUCUACAGUGAACCUUUUACAACCUCCAUGGUAAAAGAAAACCAGCCAACAGGCAUCGGACCAGCCGUGCUCAGCGAGCUUUAGACUUGGUUCAGCAUCUGCAUCAUUAAAACGACAAGGUUACAUAUUUGCAAUACAAGGUAAACUAAUUCAAUCUUAUUACCAUGUUAUAGAGUGCUGCCUUAGCAUAUAUUCAUCGUUGCUCCAUCCUUUAAAACAAGCUAUGCAUAUUCAAUUAUUCCCUGCCUGUGUGUGAUAGGAAUGUAUUUUCGAAAGUAAAUACAGAAUGCUCGACUUUUUCCACUAUAUAUGUGAUAAUAUUAGAUCUAAAAAGGUAGAAUUAAUCCUUUAAAUUCUCCAUCAUAUAAGAAGGAAAAAAAGUAUUAGUUCCCUCCUUAUCUCAGACAUCUGGGAUCUACAGUCUCUUGGUUUAGUUCUGUGGUUGACUUGACUUUCCAGGCCCAAUAAUAAUGUGGUAUCACAUUUCUCAAUCUUAUAAGUCGAAAAGUGAAAAAAGUGACUUAUUUUACCAAACAGACCCGACUUAUAAGUCACCCCAACUUAUAAGUCAUAAGUUGCUCCACCCCAACUUAAAACUUAUAAGUCACCCCCUUUUGCAUGGGUCCCACCACCUGCAUGAUGUUGAUUGGUGUGGGAAGGUGUGGCAGGUGACUUAUAAGUCAGGUGACAACCAAACAGGCGUGACUUAUAAGUCACCGGUUUUAAGUCACCUAACUUAUAAGUCAGGUGACUUAUUGGAACCAAACAGGCCCUAAGGUCUAACGUGGUAUAAUGCCGUGCUCGAGUAUUCACAAAAUCAUGUUAGUACAAUGGAUUGCUGUUAAUUAACUAUUUCCUUCAGUGUACGAGCUUAUCUUGAAUUAAUUUGAAAAAACAAGCCAUUAUGAUUAUCAUCUUCUUAUAUGUACAUCUGACAUUGUUGGUGAAGCUACAGAGUUCAGGAACUCUGGCAGACUUCUUGCAGGUAUACAAGGAGCAUUGGAGCAAGAAUAGGAUUGGUUUUUAUUUCUCAGGAUUUUUAUGUUAUCUUGCAAUUUGUGACUUGGUCUCUAAUGAGCAAGGGCGGCCUAGGUUUUUGUUUGGGAAUUUUGCUUAUGUGUGUUAUUUGAUUUCAGACAUGUCUAGAUACAGAGUAUUACCAGGGUGGGUAAGAUAUGUAGGUGAUAUGCAAUCCAAAUAGUGGAUGCAAUUCACCAUAGAUGUGGAUGUACUUCCGCACAGAAAACUCGAACACCACCUUUGAUUUCUUUGGAAAGUAGAUAAGUCGUUUUGGAGCAUUGCAUGGUUUGCCAGUCUACUUCCCUAUGUUUCUUAGAAGGAAAAACCAGGUGUUUGUUUACAUGGAUCUGUUCUUUCAGUUUAAUGCUCACACAAUGAUCCAAUACAAUAUGUGCAUAGUAGAAACCAAAAUUAUACUCUGUUCUCAUUGAUUUUUGUUCAUAGUGUUACUUGCAGAUAUGGAGUGUAUAUGCAUUCAACAGUUAAGAAGGUUGUACAUUAGCAUAAUUUUCUUGAAGCAACACGUGAGAUAAAAAAUGAUGCUCAUGUUAAUCUCUUGGUAAAGACUAGCAGCACAGUUUUUGACCUCCUUGACCCCAUUUGAUUUUAUAGGAAGCCCUCUCCAACGCCUACUCAACAGAAAAAGUAGUUCUGUAUCUUUUAAUUUUCAGCUUCUAAUACUUUUAAUCAUAUAUAUUUGUCUAUAAUAAUACCCUGUCCUAAUCAUUCAUGUUCGUACAUAAAUUUAAUCUUGAGUUCUUCCAUUUAUUCUAUACCUCAAUGGAAAAUGGCCCCAAUGAAUAUUCUGGAGAAUCAAGAACAGUUGGUAUAGGUAAUGUUUAAUCAGUUACUUAAUCAUCUCUAACACUUUUAGAAUCGAGCUGUUGUGGGAAAAUAGAUCAAUAUUUUACCUUUCUCUAUUUUAGAGAGUCUUAGUUACGUCAGCCAGGUUCCUAUCCAUGCACCUCUCUUCAAAAAAGUUUCCCGUCCGUGUGGGGUAGUUUUUGACGAGUUACUAGGAGCCUUCAAAAAAAUAAGAGUCAAGAGCAGUCGCUAAAACAUGUGGGGCUAUAUUUACCAAAGAAAAUAAAGAAUCUAAGGGAAAUAAAUCGGCAAAACAUAUUGUGUACAAGGAGAUCCUUUUGUGCAAGAGACCUUAGAAUAUUUCUAUUUUACUCUAUGUAACGGUCUUAAAGAGGAAUUCGUACAGUUUUCCGAUGAAUCCAAUAUUUCUGCGGACACAGAUGGCUAUAUUUGCAAAUUAGAUCUAGCACUAAAACAAUAUGUAGUUUGUCCAUUGCAUAAUCAGUAUUAAAAAAUUAAGAACUAGAUGAAUCAUGAAUGUGUACUUUCAGUUUACUAAGUAUCUGCAAAUUGCAUCUCACGACUCAUGCCCUAAUCUGUCUCAUAGCUCUGACCUGACCACAAUAUAUUUGUACAUACAUCUGUCAAUACCAAAUAAGAGAUCCAUCGACAUCUCUUCCUUGGGCACGAUCGAGCAUGGAGUGGCAAGAUUUUCGUUUUCCUAUCGGAAUAUACUUGGAUGAUUUCAUAAAUGAUGAUUAAGGUGGUACAACCGACCAAGCAAAGGUUAGAUUUGAUUACUAUUUUCCUAAUAUGCUAAGAUCAAUUGUGUGAAUGGAAGUCCAUGUGGUGUGAUUAAUUAUGGAGCGGUUGGAUCUUCUUAAUAUUCCCACAUUAUAUGCCUAAAUGGUGACAAAUAUGGUCUGUUCUACAGGUAUGAUAGCGACCACAUAAGCUCGGGCAACAACACACGGAAUUAGCUGACGCAGGUGACCUACCGAUUCAGCUCAGGCAAUCUCCUUGACGACUCCACUACCACCCAUCUCUACACAACACCUACAUCACCUCACUGAACAUCUGCAUACAGACCCAAAUGGGAAAUAAGACAUGCCCCCAAAUCAAGUUCCCAGUUCUUAAGAUAAUACAUACAGAAAAUCAAAUGAUUUAACCACACCUGAUGUAUCCCGUGGUGGUUGCUUCUCUCUCACUUCCAGGUUGUUUAGCAUGAUAAGAAUUAGUGCUGACAAACUGAAGGACUAGAAGGUAUACAAUCAAAAGGGGAACAGAAUGUAUAGCCAGCGGCUAGAUCGAGGAUUUCAUUUUGGGGGAUCGGCGAGUGGAGAGAGGGAGAGGCGUCGACGCCACGCGUGGGAUUGGAACUAGC